CCCCCUUGUCCCCGUCUCCAACGGUCAUUCAGAUUAUUAUCUGAACUACUUUGUGAAAAAAACAUGAAAGUCGUGAUUUAAACUGUCUAGAAAGAUAAGCUCAUCUUGAUAGAGCCAGUGCUCGCAUAUUGCGAAGAUAUCUAAUUCACGCAAUAGUUUCUUUGCAUAUAGUCAGAUAUAACUUAUAUUCCGCAGCACUUCCAACAGCCAAGCCUUAAUGUAAUUAGUUUAUGAGCUAUCUUUUGUU